GCUCAACGGUGGAAUGGCAGGGUAUACUGCAGGCCUUGAGGCCGGUAGAGGUUGCCGGAACUGUAGGUGUAGCGGUGAAAUGCGUAGAUAUCUACAGGAACACCAAAGACGAAGGUAGGCAACUGGGCCGGUUCUGACGCUCAGGCACGAAAGCGUGGGGAGCAAACAGGAUUAGAUACCCUGGUAGUCCACGCCGUAAACGAUGUGCACUAGAUUCGAGAGGCUCUGACGCCAUUCGGGUCGAAGCAAAAGUGUUAAGUGCACCGCCUGGGGAGUACGGUCGCAAGGCUAAAACUCAAAGGAAUUGACGGGGGCUCACACAAGCGGUGGAGCAUGUGGCUUAAUUCGAAGCAACGCGAAGAACCUUAUCCUGGGUUUGACAUGCACGGAUACCCUCGCCGAAAGGCGAGUAAGUUGCCCAUUCGGGUGAAACGUGCACAGGUGCUGCAUGGCUGUCGUCAGCUCGUGCUGUGAAGUGUUGGGUUAAGUCCCUUAACGAGCGAAACCCCUGUCGCUAGUUGCUAACAGGUCUCCGGACGCUGAGGACUCUAGCGAGACUGCCGGUGUCAAACCGGAGGAAGGCGGGGAUGACGUCAAGUCCUCAUGGCCUUUAUGCCCAGGGCUGCACACGUGCUACAAUGGCGUGAACAGAGCGACGCAAUACCGUAAGGUGGAGCAAAUCGCAAAAAUCACGCCCCAGUUCGGAUCGAGGUCUGCAACUCGACCUCGUGAAGGUGAAUCGCUAGUAAUCGCGCAUCA
rnacentral:rRNA from 1 species